GAUGAACGCUGGCGGCGUGCUUAACACAUGCAAGUCGAACGAUGAAGCCCAGCUUGCUGGGUGGAUUAGUGGCGAACGGGUGAGUAACACGUGAGUAGCCUGCCCUUAACUCUGGGAUAAGCCUGGGAAACUGGGUCUAAUACCGGAUAGGAGCGUCCACCGCAUGGUGGGUGUUGGAAAGAUUUAUCGGUUUUGGAUGGACUCGCGGCCUAUCAGCUUGUUGGUGAGGUAAUGGCUCACCAAGGCGACGACGGGUAGCCGGCCUGAGAGGGUGACCGGCCACACUGGGACUGAGACACGGCCCAGACUCCUACGGGAGGCAGCAGUGGGGAAUAUUGCACAAUGGGCGCAAGCCUGAUGCAGCGACGCCGCGUGAGGGAUGACGGCCUUCGGGUUGUAAACCUCUUUCAGUAGGGAAGAAGCGAAAGUGACGGUACCUGCAGAAGAAGCGCCGGCUAACUACGUG
rnacentral:rRNA from 1 species